rnacentral:rRNA from 1 species
UACGGGGGGGGCAAGCGUUGUUCGGAAUUACUGGGCGUAAAGGGCUCGUAGGCGGCCAACUAAGUCAGACGUGAAAUCCCCAGGCUUAACCUGGGAACUGCGUCUGAUACUGGAUGGCUUGAAUCCGGGAGAGGGAUGCAGAAUUCCAGGUGUAGCGGUGAAAUGCGUAGAUAUCUGGAGGAACACCGGUGGCGAAGGCGGCAUCCUGGACCGGCAUUGACGCUGAGGCGCGAAAGCUAGGGGAGCAAACGGG